GACGAACGCUGGCGGCGUGCUUAACACAUGCAAGUCGAACGAAGAGCGAUGGAAGCUUGCUUCUAUCAAUCUUAGUGGCGAACGGGUGAGUAACGCGUAAUCAACCUGCCCUUCAGAGGGGGACAACAGUUGGAAACGACUGCUAAUACCGCAUACGAUCUAACCUCGGCAUCGAGGAAAGAUGAAAGGUGGCCUCUAUGUAUAAGCUAUCACUGAAGGAGGGGAUUGCGUCUGAUUAGCUAGUUGGAGGGGUAACGGCCCACCAAGGCGAUGAUCAGUAGCCGGUCUGAGAGGAUGAACGGCCACAUUGGGACUGAGACACGGCCCAGACUCCUACGGGAGGCAGCAGUGGGGAACCUUCCGCAAUGGACGAAAGUCUGACGGAGCAACGCCGCGUGAGUGAUGACGGCCUUCGGGUUGUAAAGCUCUGUUAAUCGGGACGAAAGGCCUUCUUGCGAAUAGUGAGAAGGAUUGACGGUACCGGAAUAGAAAGCCACGGCUAACUACGUG
rnacentral:rRNA from 1 species